GAGGUGGUUGCAUUACAGAAACUGGAAUAUCCCCUCUACCAUUGCUUCCCCCAUAUUCUUCCAUUUCCUAGACCUUAAGGUUGAAAGUGAUUAGAGGAGAGGUAGAAGGAAUGGUGCUAAUCUUUUUGGUAAGUAUUUUCCAUUCAUUGUAGUGCUGAAGUGUGAUUAAAAUUUUAAAGCAGGUAGCCGAAGCCUGGCAUUAGUCUCUGUCUGUUGUUCGGUGAUAACAUUUUCCUGGAUUUCUCCCAGACUCAUUAAACGUCAUCAGUCACAGGCAAAUCUAACAAGGGCUUGUUGGAAGAGAACUCUGCUGGACUGAAAUAUUAAGCAGCGAUCGUUCGUGCCACAGACAUGAGCCACUAAUAUUUUUUUGUUAGCCAGUUACAAGGGUGCCUCACAACCUAGAGAGCCAAAAGUGACAACCUCUCCUGGUGUUUUCCUUCUGCUGUGCACUUCCACAGAGUCUGAAAAGAAGAGGAGGGAUUUCAGGAGCUGUCCCCUCGAUCAUCUUGUCCUCAGCUGAGGCAGGGAGAAAAAGGAGGUGAAGCUAAGGAAAAAUAAAUGAUAUUCAUAGUUAAAGCA
rnacentral:lncRNA from 1 species